rnacentral:rRNA from 1 species
AUUGAACGCUGGCGGCAGGCCUAACACAUGCAAGUCGAGCGGAUGAAGGGAGCUUGCUCCUGGAUUCAGCGGCGGACGGGUGAGUAAUGCCUAGGAAUCUGCCUGGUAGUGGGGGAUAACGUCCGGAAACGGGCGCUAAUACCGCAUACGUCCUGAGGGAGAAAGUGGGGGAUCUUAGGACCUCACGCUCUCAGAUGAGCCUAGGUCGGAUUAGCUAGUUGGUGGGGUAAAGGCCUACCAAGGCGACGAUCCGUAACUGGUCUGAGAGGAUGAUCAGUCACACUGGAACUGAGACACGGUCCAGACUCCUACGGGAGGCAGCAGUGGGGAAUAUUGGACAAUGGGCGAAAGCCUGAUCCAGCCAUGCCGCGUGUGUGAAGAAGGUCUUCGGAUUGUAAAGCACUUUAAGUUGGGAGGAAGGGCAGUAAGUUAAUACCUUGCUGUUUUGACGUUACCAACAGAAUAAGCACCGGCUAACUUCGUG